AACGAACGCUGGCGGCAUGCCUAACACAUGCAAGUCGAACGAGACCUUCGGGUCUAGUGGCGCACGGGUGCGUAACGCGUGGGGACCUGCCCUUAGGUUCGGAAUAACUCCCCGAAAGGGGUGCUAAUACCGGAUAAUGUCUUCGGACCAAAGAUUUAUCGCCCUUGGAUGGGCCCGCGUUGGAUUAGCUAGUUGGUAGGGUAAAAGCCUACCAAGGCGACGAUCCAUAGCUGGUCUGAGAGGAUGAUCAGCCACACUGGGACUGAGACACGGCCCAGACUCCGACGGGAGGCAGCAGGGGGGAAUAUGGGACAGUGGGCGAAAGCCUGAUCCAGCAAUGCCGGGUGAGUGAUGAAGGCCUGAGGGUUGUAAAGCUCUUUUACCCGGGAUGAUAAUGACAGUACCGGGAGAAUAAGCUCCGGCUAACUCCGU
rnacentral:rRNA from 1 species